rnacentral:rRNA from 1 species
AAGGGGGGCAGCAUGGUCUUAGCUUGCUAAGGCCGAUGGCGACCGGCGCACGGGUGAGUAACGCGUAUCCCACUUGCCUUACACUCUUGGACAGCCUUCUGAAAGGGAGAUUACAUACAAGAUGUUAUCAUGAGUAAGCAUUUUCGCAUGAUUAAAGGUUUACCGGUGUAAGAUGGGGAUGCGUUCCAUUAGAUAGUAGGCGGGGUAACGGCCCACCUAGUCUUCGAUGGAUAGGGGCUCUGAGAGGAAGGUCCCCCACAUUGGAACUGAGACACGGUCCAAACUCCUACGGGAGGCAGCAGUGAGGAAUAUUGGUCAAUGGACGAGAGUCUGAACCAGCCAAGUAGCGUGAAGGAUGAAGGUUCUAUGGAUUGUAAACUUCUUUUAUACGGGAAUAAACGGAUCCACGUGUGGAUUUUUGCAUGUACCGUAUGAAUAAGGAUCGGCUAACUCCGUGCCAGCAGCCGCGGUAAUACGGAGGAUCCGAGCGUUAUCCGGAUUUAUUGGGUUUAAAGGGAGCGUAGAUGGGUUGUUAAGUCAGUUGUGAAAGUUUGCGGCUCAACCGUAAAAUUGCAAUUGAUACUGGCAGUCUUGAGUACAGUUGAGGUAGGCGGAAUUCGUGGUGUAGCGGUGAAAUGCUUAGAUAUCACGAAGAACUCCGAUUG